AUUGAACGCUGGCGGCAGGCCUAACACAUGCAAGUCGAGCGAGCGGCGGACGGGUGAGUAAUGUCUGGGAAACUGCCUGAUGGAGGGGGAUAACUACUGGAAACGGUAGCUAAUACCGCAUACCAUCAGAUGUGCCCAGAUGGGAUUAGCUAGUAGGUGGGGUAACGGUCCACCUAGGCGACGAUCCCUAGCUGGGCUGAGAUGAAGACCAGCCACACUGGAGCUUAGACGCGGUCCAGAUUCCUACGGGAGGCAGCAGUGGGGAAUAUUGAACAAUGGGCGCAAGCCUGAGGAAGCCAUGCCGCGUGUGUGAAGAAGGCCUUCGGGUUGUAAAGUACUUUCAGCGGGGAGGCGUUACCCGCAGAAGAAGCCCCGGCUAACUCCGUGCCAGCCGCCGCGGUAAUACC
rnacentral:rRNA from 1 species